AUGCAGUCGAGGGGUAUAGUUCUUCGGAGCUAGAGACCGGCGCACGGGUGCGUAACGCGUAUGCAAUCUGCCUUUCACAGAGGGAUAGCCCAGAGAAAUUUGGAUUAAUACCUCAUAGUAUAAUGCCCUGGCAUCACGAUAUUAUUAAAGUCACAACGGUGAAAGAUGAGCAUGCGUCCCAUUAGCUAGUUGGUAAGGUAACGGCUUACCAAGGCUACGAUGGGUAGGGGUCCUGAGAGGGAGAUCCCCCACACUGGUACUGAGACACGGACCAGACUCCUACGGGAGGCAGCAGUGAGGAAUAUUGGACAAUGGGCGCAAGCCUGAUCCAGCCAUGCCGCGUGCAGGAUGACGGUCCUAUGGAUUGUAAACUGCUUUUGUACGAGAAGAAACACUCCUACGUGUAGGAGCUUGACGGUAUCGUAAGAAUAAGGAUCGGCUAACUCCGUGCCAGCAGCCGCGGUAAUACGGAGGAUCCAAGCGUUAUCCGGAAUCAUUGGGUUUAAAGGGUCCGUAGGCGGUUUAAUAAGUCAGUGGUGAAAGCCCAUCGCUCAACGGUGGAACGGCCAUUGAUACUGCUAAACUUGAAUUAUUAGGAAGUAACUAGAAUAUGUAGUGUAGCGGUGAAAUGCUUAGAGAUUACAUGGAAUACCAAUUGCGAAGGCAGGUUACUACUAAUUGAUUGACGCUGAUGGACGAAAGCGUGGGUAGCGAACAGGAUUAGAUACCCUGGUAGUCCACGCCGUAAACGAUGGAUACUAGCUGUUGGAAGCAAUUUCAGUGGCUAAGCGAAAGUGAUAAGUAUCCCACCUGGGGAGUACGUUCGCAAGAAUGAAACUCAAAGGAAUUGA
rnacentral:rRNA from 1 species